rnacentral:tRNA from 1 species
GGAGUUGUAGCUCAGUGGUACAGUGCUUGCCUAGCAUGUAUGGGGCACUGGGAUCAAUUCUCAGCACCA